rnacentral:rRNA from 1 species
GUGGGGAAUAUUGGGCAAUGGGGGAAACCCUGACCCAGCAACGCCGCGUGAAGGAAGAAGGCUUUCGGGUUGUAAACUUCUUUUACCAGGGAAAAACACAAUGAUGGUACCUGGAGAAAAAGCUACGGCUAACUACGUGCCAGCAGCCGCGGUAAUACGUAGGUGGCAAGCGUUGUCCGGAAUUACUGGGUGUAAAGGGCGUGUAGGCGGAACUACAAGUCAGGGGUGAAAACUAUGGGCUUAACCCAUAGCCUGCCUUUGAAACUGUAGUCCUUGAGUGCUGGAGAGGCAAUCGGAAUUCCUAGUGUAGCGGUGAAAUGCGUAGAUAUUAGGAGGAACACCAGUGGCGAAGGCGGAUUGCUGGACAGUAACUGACGCUGAGGCGCGAAAGCGUGGGGAGCAAACAGGAUUAGAUACCCCUGUAGUCC